UCUCGCGUGACCUGGAAUAAUCGUUAUGAGUACAGUGGCGCACGGGCGAUAAACACGUAGGUGACCUGCCUAUUAGCGGGGGAUAAUACGAAGAAAUUCGUGCUAAUACCGCAUACGCAAAGUGAAUUUGGAAGUAACUUUGGAAAGAAUGCCUCUCCUUGAAAGCAUUCGCUGUUUGAUGGGCCUGCGAGACAUUAGCUUGAUGGUGGGGUAAUGGCCUACCUUGGCAACGAUGUCUAGCGGAUCUGAGAGGAUGAUCCGCCACACUGGAACUGAGACACGGUCCAGACUCCUACGGGAGGCAGCAGUGGGGAAUAUUGCGCAAUGGGGGAAACCCUGACGCAGCAACGCCGCGUGAGUGAGGAAGGCCUUCGGGUCGUAAAGCUCUGUCAAUGUGGAAAAACGGUUAUUGGUCCAAUAGGCCUUUAAUUUGAUGGUACACAUAAAGGAAGCACCGGCUAACUUCGUGCCAGCAGCCGCGGUAAUACGAAGGGUGCAAGCGUUGUUCGGAUUUAUUGGGCGUAAAGCGCGCGCAGGCGGAUUAUUAAGCCAGAUGUGAAAUCUCGGGGCUCAACCCCGAAACUGCGUCUGGAACUGAUAAUCUAGAAUCAUGUAGAGGAAAGGGGAAUUUCGCAUGUAGGAGUAAAAUCCGUAGAGAUGCGAAGGAACACCAGGGGCGAAGGCGCCUUUCUGGCCAUAUAUUGACGCUGAGGCGCGAAAGCGUGGGUAGCAAACAGGAUUAGAUACCCUGGUAGUCCACGCCGUAAACGAUGAGCACUAGAUAUGGGGUAUUUUGACGUACUCUGUGUCGUAGCUAACGCAUUAAGUGCUCCGCCUGGGGAGUACGGUCGCAAGACUAAAACUCAAAGGAAUUGACGGGGGCCCGCACAAGCGGUGGAUUAUGUGGUUUAAUUCGAAGCAACGCGCAGAACCUUACCUAGGCUUGAAAUCCUGAGAAGAUCGACCAAAAUCGAUUGUGCUCUUCGGAGAACUCAGUGACAGGCGCUGCAUGGCUGUCGUCAGCUCGUGUCGUGAGAUGUUGGGUUAAGUCUCGCAACGAGCGCAACCCCUAUCUUUAGUUGCCAGCAUUAAGUUGGGCACUCUAGAGAGACUGCCUGGGUUAACCAGGAGGAAGGUGGGGAGGACGUCAAGUCCUCAUGGCCCUUAUGCCUAGGGCUACACACGUAAUACAAUGGCGUACACAGAGGGACGCGAUCGGGUGACCGUUAGCAAAUCUCAAAAAGUGCGUCUCAGUCCGGAUUGGAGUCUGCAACUCGACUCCAUGAAGUUGGAAUCGCUAGUAAUCGCGGAUCAGCACGCCGCGGUGAAUACGUUCCCGGGCCUUGUACACACCCCGUCAUAGCAUGAGUAUCUACUUAGAUAUAUAGUAUUACCGAGAUAUAGCCAUAUCUCGCUAGUGCCGACG
rnacentral:rRNA from 1 species